UACCCUUCUGGAGGAGAACACGAAUCUUUGGGAACUAGUUCAGGAAGGUAAAAAAAUUUUUUUCUUCUAAAGUUAUGCCAUUUUGUUUUCUUUCUCCUCAGCUCUAAAUACUCUGAAGUCCAAAGAAGUUGUAUGUUGGGUGGGCUCCCUUCAACUUUAACAUGGAAGUGCUUUCUGUGACUUUAAAAGUAAGUGCUUCCAUGUUUUAGUAGGAGUGAAUCCAAUUUACUUCUCCAAAAUAGAACACGCUAACCUCAUUUGAAGGGAUCCCCUUUGCUUUAACAUGGGGGUACCUGCUGUGUGAAACAAAAGUAAGUGCUUCCAUGUUUCAGUGGAGGUGUCUCCAAGCCAGCACACCUUUUGUUACAAAAUUUUUUUGUUAUUGUGUUUUAAGGUUACUAAGCUUGUUACAGGUUAAAGGAUUCUAACUUUUUCCAAGACUGGGCUCCCCACCACUUAAACGUGGAUGUACUUGCUUUGAAACUAAAGAAGUAAGUGCUUCCAUGUUUUGGUGAUGGUAAGUCUUCCUUUUACAUUUUUAUUAUUUUUUUAGAAAAUAACUUUAUUGUAUUGACCGCAGCUCAUAUAUUUAAGCUUUAUUUUGUAUUUUUACAUCUGUUAAGGGGCCCCCUCUACUUUAACAUGGAGGCACUUGCUGUGACAUGACAAAAAUAAGUGCUUCCAUGUUUGAGUGUGGUGGUUCCUACCUAAUCAGCAAUUGCGUUAACGCCCACACUGUGUGCAGUUCUUGGCUACAGGCCAUUACUGUUGCUAAUAUGCAACUCUGUUGAAUAUAAAUUGGAAUUGCACUUUAGCAAUGGUGAUGGAUUGUUAAGCCAAUGACAGAAUUUAAACCACAGACUUACUUUGAUAGCACUCUUAAUGGUAUAACUUCUUCUCCCAUUUUAUGUCUCUCUUUAUGUUUUUUCUUAUGUUUCCUUUUUGUUUUCAAGAGAGAGCUAUCUUUUAGAUCUCCAGUAUCCUUUUCCUCUUCAGUAGAGAUUUCUAUAUCUUGAAAUAAAUAAAAAAGCUCUCCGUUAAGACAUGGGGCUGUGAAAUGGGUGAAACAGAAGCCAAUUAAAACCUAAUUAAUUAAAAACUAAUUAAUUAAAAUUAAUUAGUUUUAUCUAAUUAAAACCUUGUAGUUUUACCUCUAUUUUCCUUGGAAGCUUCUGAUGCUUCCUUAAUGAUGUCUUUCUGAAUAAUUUUCUUUACUUUUGAUCGGGGAGCUAGGGAUUCUGCAUCUUCAGAGCUGCUUCUCUUCCUCUUCCCUGUUCUGACUUCAGGUAAGCUAGAUGCUUCAACUCUGUCCCGUUUUUUCUUUUUCUUUGAGCACUGCUUUUGGGGUUCAGUGGACUCAAUGUCAGAGCCCUCAGAUGUGGGUCUGGAUCUUUUCAUUUUACUGAUGCUGGUGUUGCUUGUGUCCAUGUUUUCUUCUUUGGCUUGGAUAUUGUCUUCCUUUUUCAUUCGGCCUUUCUUCUUCUUUUUCUUUUUCUUCUCUUCUGUAAAAGUGCCAUCAUUAUUAGUUCAUCUUACUUCAACUACACCUAUUUAAAUAUUGAAAAAUACUCACCCACAACUCUUAAGGCUGGAAUGGGCUUAUUUUUCACUGUUUUAGGAAAUAUGCCAGGUUUUCUUGGUGCUUCUUCUGGUGGGUUGUUAAGAAACUGAAAUGAUUGCAAAAGUUACUAUUUUAAUACUUGUUUUCUUUUCUUUCUUUUUUUUUUUUUAGGAUCUGGACUUACCUCAAUUGCUUUUGCUGCUUGUUCUUUUGUUUCAAAUUCCACAAACGCAAAUCCCUUUGGAUCUCCAGUAGACUUAUAAUGUGGUAUACUUAUAUAAACAACAUUGCCACAUUUCCCAAAUACUCUUUCAAUCCAGCUGUGAUUAACAUUUUUGGGAAGUAACUCCUAUUAUAAAUUAAAAGCAAUAUUAGAGUUUUUCACAAUCAGAAUGUCAAUAAAUUUUUAACUUAAUUAUAU
ensembl:lncRNA MIR302CHG miR-302/367 cluster host gene